rnacentral:rRNA from 1 species
CAGCCGCCGCGGUAAUACGUAGGGUGCAAGCGUUAAUCGGAGUUACUGGGCGUAAAGCGUGCGCAGGCGGUUUGUUAAGACAGAUGUGAAAUCCCCGGGCUCAACCUGGGAACUGCAUUUGUGACUGGCAAGCUAGAGUGUGGCAGAGGGGGGUUGAAUUCCGCGUGUAGCAGUGAAAUGCGUAGAUAUGCGGAGGAACACCGAUGGCGAAGGCAGCCCCCUGGGCCAACACUGACGCUCAUGCACGAAAGCGUGGGGAGCAAACAGGAUUAGAUACCCCCGUAGUCCCUGUCUCUUAUAC